CCCUUAGAUGUUCUGGGCCGCACGCGCGCUACACUGACGAUGGCAACGAGUUUUUCCUUCGCCGAAAGGUGUGGGUAAUCUUUUGAAACAUCGUCGUGCUGGGGAUAGAUCAUUGCAAUUUUUGAUCUCGAACGAGGAAUUCCUAGUAAGCGCGAGUCAUCAGCUCGCGUUGAUUACGUCCCUGCCCUUUGUACACACCGCCCGUCGCUACUACCGAUUGAAUGGUUUAGUGAGGACUCCUGAUUGGCGCCGCCGCCCCGGCAACGGAGCAGCGGACUGCCGAAAAGUUGUUCAAACUUGAUCAUUUAGAGGAAGUAAAAGUCGUAACA
rnacentral:rRNA from 1 species